rfam:Capsicum annuum cultivar Zunla-1 chromosome 5, whole genome shotgun sequence
GACGGUGGUGUAGGUAAUAUCUCAAGUAUCCCCUGUAUCUUUCCCAAGCUUGGGGAAGGGAUUCAUUAUCUUUUUGAAAAAAUCUAGAAUUCUUGCCUUUGAGCUC